rnacentral:lncRNA from 1 species
GUCCCUCCAAAACGCUUCUGGAUUAGAGUCCUUUGAAACCGGCUUCUUCUUUUCCUUUGCUAAUUGAAAACCUUCAUCUGGAAUGGUAGUCAUGGGUUCCGCCAUUUUCAAAAUCGGCGGCGGUAGCGACGUCAUAUGGCGUUAUUUGAUUGUGACGUUAUAAAUAACUCUUUUUCCCGGAAAAAUAGGCGAUUUUAAAAUCUGCCAUAGAUUUGGAGAAAACAAAACCUGCCAUAGAUUUGAGACGGCAUUACGUCAUAUUUACCAUCGAUUAGGAAUCCGCCAU